UGCAAGUAGAACGCUGAAGGAGGAGCUUGCUUCUCUGGAUGAGUUGCGAACGGGUGAGUAACGCGUAGGUAACCUGCCUGGUAGCGGGGGAUAACUAUUGGAAACGAUAGCUAAUACCGCAUAAUAGUAGAUGUUGCAUGACAUUUGCUUAAAAGGUGCAAUUGCAUCACUACCAGAUGGACCUGCGUUGUAUUAGCUAGUUGGUGGGGUAACGGCUCACCAAGGCGACGAUACAUAGCCGACCUGAGAGGGUGAUCGGCCACACUGGGACUGAGACACGGCCCAGACUCCGACGGGAGGCAGCAGUAGGGAAUCUUCGGCAAUGGACGGAAGUCUGACCGAGCAACGCCGCGUGAGUGAAGAAGGUUUUCGGAUCGUAAAGCUCUGUUGUAAGAGAAGAACGAGUGUGAGAGUGGAAAGUUCACACUGUGACGGUAUCUUACCAGAAAGGGACGGCUAACUACGUGCCAGCAGCCGCGGUAAUACGUAGGUCCCGAGCGUUGUCCGGAUUUAUUGGGCGUAAAGCGAGCGCAGGCGGUUAGAUAAGUCUGAAGUUAAAGGCUGUGGCUUAACCAUAGUACGCUUUGGAAACUGUUUAACUUGAGUGCAAGAGGGGAGAGUGGAAUUCCAUGUGUAGCGGUGAAAUGCGUAGAUAUAUGGAGGAACACCGGUGGCGAAAGCGGCUCUCUGGCUUGUAACUGACGCUGAGGCUCGAAAGCGUGGGGAGCAAACAGGAUUAGAUACCCUGGUAGUCCACGCCGUAAACGAUGAGUGCUAGGUGUUAGACCCUUUCCGGGGUUUAGUGCCGCAGCUAACGCAUUAAGCACUCCGCCUGGGGAGUACGACCGCAAGGUUGAAACUCAAAGGAAUUGACGGGGGCCCGCACAAG
rnacentral:rRNA from 1 species